GUGAGGAAUAUUGGUCAAUGGGCGCGAGCCUGAACCAGCCAAGUCGCGUGAGGGAGGACGGCCCUACGGGUUGUAAACCUCUUUUGCCGGGGAGCAACGGGCGUCACGUGUGGCGCCACUGAGAGUACCCGGAGAAAAAGCAUCGGCUAACUCCGUGCCAGCAGCCGCGGUAAUACGGAGGAUGCGAGCGUUAUCCGGAUUUAUUGGGUUUAAAGGGUGCGUAGGCGGAUCGUUAAGUCAGUGGUCAAAUUGAGGGGCUCAACCCCUUCCCGCCAUUGAAACUGGCGUUCUUGAGUGGAAGAGAAGUAUGCGGAAUGCGUGGUGUAGCGGUGAAAUGCAUAGAUAUCACGCAGAACCCCGAUUGCGAAGGCAGCAUGCCGGCUUCCGACUGACGCUGAAGCACGAAAGCGUGGGGAUCGAACAGGAUUAGAUACCCGGGUAGUCC
rnacentral:rRNA from 1 species